CUACACUCCGACCAUCAAGGGACAUGCGCUUAAAUAGACAACACCAUUGGUCGCAAGGUCACAUGGUUUUAGGGGAUAAGAGGGAGCACCGAGUUUGAAU